UUACGGCCAUAUCACGUUGAAACACCGCUUCCCGUACGAUCACCAAAGUUAAGCAAGGUCGAGUUUGGUCAGUACCUAGAUGCGUGUCCGCUUGGGAAUACGAGGCGCU